rnacentral:rRNA from 1 species
UGACUCCUACGGGAGGCAGCAGUGGGGAAUAUUGCACAAUGGGGGAAACCCUGAUGCAGCCAUGCCGCGUGUGUGAAGAAGGCCUUCGGGUUGUAAAGCACUUUCAGUAGGGAGGAAGGUAGUGUAGUUAACACCUGCACUAUUUGACGUUACCUACAGAAGAAGCACCGGCUAACUCCGUGCCAGCAGCCGCGGUAAUACGGAGGGUGCGAGCGUUAAUCGGAAUUACUGGGCGUAAAGCGCAUGCAGGCGGCCUGUUAAGUCAGAUGUGAAAGCCCGGGGCUUAACCUCGGAAUUGCAUUUGAAACUGGCAGGCUAGAGUCUUGUAGAGGGGGUAGGAAUUUCAGGUGUAGCGGUGAAAUGCGUAGAGAUCUGAAGGAAUACCAGUGGCGAAGGCGGCCCCCCUCGGACAAAGACUGACGCUCAGAUGCGAAAGCGUGGGGAGCAAACAGGAUUAGAUACCCUGGUAG